ACUGGAUGCAGUGGUGCAUGCCUAAAGUCCCAGCUACUUGGAGGCUGACACAGGAGGAUCGCUUGAGUGGGCUGUAGUGUGCUAUUCUGAUUGGGUGUCUGCACUAAGUUCAGCAUCAAUAUGGUGACCUCCCAGGAGCAGGGGCCACCAGGUUGCCUAAGGAGAGGUGAACUGGUUCAGCUCGGAAACGGAGCAGGUCAAAACUCUUGUGUUGAUCAGUAGUGGGAUUGCGCCUGUGAAUAGCCACUGCACUCCAGCCUGGGCAACAUAGCAAGACCACAUCUCUA
rfam:Otolemur garnettii contig163027, whole genome shotgun sequence.